AAGGUCAUGGAUUCCAAAAGUACUGGUUCUAACAAUAAUUUCAGGCAGUGCUCCCUGUAAAGAGCUGCUGCAUUCCUUUUAUAUCUCUUUCCCUCCCCUUCUGCUGCUACCGCUGCUGCUUGCUCCUGCUGUUUCAGGCGAGGAUGGAAAUUAACAUGAAUAAAAUUAAUGGUUUAAUUUUGCAGGAGAAAGAAGUGGGCUCGCAGUGCUCGGCUAGGGAAAAGGGCUUUUGUCUUUGUUGAUGACCUAAACAUGUCUGCCAAGGAGAAAGAUGGUGCCCGGCCUCCCAUUGAACCGCCGAGGCAAUGGAUUGACCAUGGCUACAGGUUUGACAGAAUGUGAAGAUGCAUCUGUGGGAUUUCUGAUUCUAAGGAUGGAACAAUGUAUAACUUCUCUGCAGAGUCACUGUCUGGAGAAAAGAAGGAAUGGAAUAAAAGACAUUUUUUGCUAAAACCGAACAAAAGAUAAAAUUGAGCGUGCACACACACAAAAGAUCUUCCCAGCUGCUUUGCCUUUAUUCUCAGGCUGCAAAUUUAUAUCAAGAGAAGUCUAGUUAGGACAAAGAAUAAGCCCCGGGUAGCAACACUGAGCUAUACUAACAUUUGGAGCUGCUGGUGCUGGAUUUAGUGAGUUUUGUCCCAUCCUUAACAAGAAAUAUUACAGCAAAAGAAAAAAGAAAGAAAAUGCUGAGUAUGCAUGGUUCAAGAAAGUGUGAUACAAGGAUGUUUUGAUUCCAUUUUUGAUGUUGAAAAUUCCUCAUAGCUAAUAUCAAAGUUUGUCAAUUACCACACCCUGAUCCAGCUCCAGGCUUGUGAGUUUAGCAUUUUAUUUUGCUUCUCAGAAAUAGAGCCCCUGUGUAAGUUCUACACCUCCAAGAAAAUGUUCCCAUUCUUUCCCUCCAUUUCUCAAGACUGAAGUUGAGGAGUCAAAGUAACCUGUCUCUCAUUGCAUGCUAGAAUUUAUAGACAUUGAGCAAGGUCAAGGUACUGACAAUCACAACAUUUUGACUGACUACUGUGGCAAGUCCUAUUUGGUUGACUACUAUAGCAAACUCUAAAACAAUUGCUGUCUACUUUAGAGUUGUCAUGAAUCAGAAGUUAACACAAAUAGCAUGUUGCAUUGCCUUAAAAAACUGUUCAAAAAUACACAUCAGGAAAAAGGUGCAAAAUUAAUUUUGUUCAUAAGGGUCACUUUAAAAAUUCUGCUACAGACUAAUUAAAUGCUAGGUGCAGAUAUUUUUGGCUAAAAUAUUAAGCUGCAAUCAUUAGCACUGCAGAAAAUUUCCGUGUGCAAUUGUUCCAGGUGGAUAUGAAUUCCUCAUCAUUGUUCCUGUAGGAUUUGUUGUAAGUUGUUGACAGGGAUAUGAUUCUAUUGUAGAAUAUUUUCAAAGACAUCCUCAUGCAAUUCCUUCAGUUGAUUGCAGUGGCUCGCCUUUUAUUAGGAAUAUCUGAAAGAGAGAAGAGCUGGAAAAUUCACAGGAUGCUAUAUGACAAUAGCAUAUUUUUUUAAAAAAAACUUUCCAUUGUCAUUUUUAAAACUUUCCCCUAAUAUCUUAAGUACUUAGUGGCAGGGAAGUGUCAAACUGAAUAAUGCCACUGAUUUUUGUAUAGUCAACAUAAUAUUUGGUCUUUCUCUCUGUUUUGUGAAAUUUAAAGUUGGAAUAAACUAUAG
rnacentral:lncRNA from 11 species